UUUUUUAAUGAUCAGACAUACUUCAGUACUAUUAUGUUCACCGAUAGUGCAUAAUUUUCUAACAGAAAGACAAUUUUGUCCUCUAUUUAUUAACUUCUCAGUUUUUUAAUUCGAAAAAAUGGCACUCAUUGGAACUCCAUUUAUUCCAGUGUACCUAGCAGCUGGAAUUUUUGUAAUAGCUUUAAGAUUCAAGCAUGAACAUCAACCAUUUUGGUGGAAUGCAGUUGAGAAACUCCCACCACCACCACCUGAGUGCAUUACAAGAUUGCCCAGCAAAUAAUUUAAAAUAUUAAAUAAAAUUGAUUAGUACUCGAUUCUAGUAUAAAUACAAUUCUCUAAAAAAUUGGAUCAACAUUGUAAAAAUACAUGUAUUUCUUGCUGCUAAAUUAUUUUAAACAUUAUGUAUUGUUUAACUGAAAAUGCUGUGCAUCAUCUCAGUGUAGAGUGAUGUGAACACUCAUUCAACAGAAUCGAAUUGUAAUAAGAAAAUUAUUUAUCAAAACAAUUAUUGUAUAAUUUCUGUCUUCUUUUGUUAUUAAAUAAAAUUGAAUAACUUUCAAAAAAUAUAUCAA